AUUGAACGCUGGCGGCAGGCCUAACACAUGCAAGUCGGACGGUAGCACAGAGAGCUUGCUCUCGGGUGACGAGUGGCGGACGGGUGAGUAAUGUCUGGGGAUCUGCCCGAUAGAGGGGGAUAACCACUGGAAACGGUGGCUAAUACCGCAUAACGUCGCAAGACCAAAGAGGGGGACCUUCGGGCCUCUCACUAUCGGAUGAACCCAGAUGGGAUUAGCUAGUAGGCGGGGUAACGGCCCACCUAGGCGACGAUCCCUAGCUGGUCUGAGAGGAUGACCAGCCACACUGGAACUGGGAAACGGUCCAGACUCCUACGGGAGGCAGCAGUGGGGAAUAUUGCACAAUGGGCGCAAGCCUGAUGCAGCCAUGCCGCGUGUAUGAAGAAGGCCUUCGGGUUGUAAAGUACUUUCAGCGGGGAGGAAGGCGAUGUGGUUAAUAACCGCGUCGAUUGACGUUACCCGCAGAAGAAGCACCGGCUAACUCCGUGCCAGCCGCCGCAGUAA
rnacentral:rRNA from 1 species